rnacentral:rRNA from 1 species
GGGCCCGCACAAGCAGCGGAGCGUGUGGUUUAAUUCGAUGCAACGCGAAGAACCUUACCAAGGCUUGACAUGCUAGAAGUAGAAACUUGAAAGAGGAACCACCUGUAUCCAGUCAGGAGCUAGCACAGGUGCUGCAUGGCUGUCGUCAGCUCGUGCCGUGAGGUGUUAGGUUAAGUCCUGCAACGAGCGCAACCCUCAUUGCUAGUUGAAUUCUCUAGCGAUACUGCCCGUAUAACGUGGAGGAAGGUGAGGAUGACGUCAAGUCAGCAUGGCCCUUACGCCUUGGGCUACACACACGCUACAAUGGAUGAUACAGAGGGUCGCUAAGAAGCGAUUCGGAGCUAAUCCUUAAAAUCAUCCUCAGUUCAGAUUGUAGACUGAAACUGUCUACAUGAAGUAGGAGUUGCUAGUAACCGCAGGUCAGCACACUGCGGUGAAUACGUUCUCGGGCCUU